rnacentral:lncRNA from 1 species
CACCAUUUUAAGCUAAAUAUUACAACUAACAUGAGAUGAGAAGAGAGAGAAAUAAAAUUUCAUAGCAAAUAACAUAGCUAUCAUUACAUUCCCAAAUUCAAACUUUGGUUACACUUAAGCGACAUCCAUGGUGCUAAUAAUACCUAGAAAUUGGAAAGGAAACAAAGUUAGGAAACAAGAAGGAUCAGCAGCAGGAAGUUCAAACAGAAAGAAGCAACAACAGAAUCAGCUAAAGCCCAGCAAUGAAAUAGUGUUCUCACAGCCAAAUCCACACCCAAACCUUUAAAUAUCCCAACAAUUCAAUCCAUUUUUCCAAACCAGAAUGCAAAAUUAUAAGGUUUCAGUCGAUUUGAACUAUGAGAGGAGCAAAACCAAGCAGAAUUUCAAUAGUUCUUCCUUAGAAACUGAAGAGAAUUUCAGAUUAUUUCAGAAUUCUAAAAAAGCCAGCCGCCUUUGUUUUCAGGAUAUUUCUUCUCCUCCAAAAAACUGCCUUGAGCUAGAAGGAAAUUUGCCUUUAUAGGCAAGGCAUUAGGGCAGCCUCAAAGAGUUCAAAUUUGCAGUUCAAACCUUUUGCAAUUUUUAUUUUAGCUUAGAGACCCUUAGUUUGAUUUUUAGAUUCUCAUAUAAGUCCCUAACUCAGCUUCCUAGAAGCUUCCUUUGGUUAGUUACUGAAAUAUUCCCUAUACCAAUUACCUAGACUACCCCCCCCCCCCCCCACCCCUGAAAAUUUCCCUCGGAAAAUCACAUGGGUCAAAUUGACCCAACUAGAUUUGGUAUGGGUCUGUGAAUCCAAAUUAAAUCCCCACUUGGGCUCUUGACUUUCAGAACCCAAUUCAAUUUAAGCAAAGAUCCCCAAAUUUAAAAACUGACCAAAAUUCCCAAAAGAAGAAUUCGGAAACCUUUUAAAAUGCAAUCAAACAAAGACGAGGGUGAAUGAAUUAAUUAGCUUAACUACAUAGCAAGAAAUUGACUAAGUUAUAGGCCUAAUUAACUAGGUGAUUAAACAGAAAAACAAACCAGAAAAUUAACCAUGCUUAACAAACUAAAGAAGUCAAAGAAACAGAUUUCACAAAGAAGAAGAAGAAAUAAAGAGGAAAAGAAUAACAAAAUAAUGAACAGAAGAACAAGUUUGAACUCAGAAGGCGAAUCGGAUUUUCAUCCAGAUUAUUAUAAGAAAACUAGGCUAAAGAAAGGGAAAGAGGAGGAUAAUAAAACAAUGAGAGAAAGAAAACACAAAAAGGGAAAGGAACUUACCAAAUCAAGCCUCGAAACUAGACACAGACAAAGGACCCAAUAAAACUAAUGUCGGUCAAUUGUUCUUUGUUAAGAACAAACUGAACAACAUCAGUCUUGUUGAGUCCAAACUUCAAAACUCGAAGAAACACCACCCUAUGACCAUGCAUGCUACCAAAUUCCAUAGAAAAUGACUUUUGAAUUUUUUAGGGUUCACUUUCGAUCUAAAAUUCGAGGAAUUCUGGGGGGAUUCGAAGCAAACGGAGUGGGGAUUUGGAACGAGGGAGUCUUGGUGUUCAUGGGGUGUUAUUUUUGGAGUGACUGGAGGUGGUGCCGCCGGGCUCGAGGCGGUGGGAAAUGGUGGCGGCGUUAGGGUUCAUGAUGAAUCUCUGAGAGGAAGGUGAAGGGGGACGAAG